AAAAUUCCCAUAUUUGACAUAUUUUAAAUUGUUUAAUGAGUUGUGGUUAUUUUAGAUCCUGCAAAAAUCAACGUGUAAUCACCAUUAAACACGCAAAACCAAAACCGAAACAGACUUCUGUCAAUCGAUUGAUGUUUCUUUGGAUUAAGAAUUAUCAUAUUAUUAAUUAAUAUCUCUCUUUUGAUCCAUAACUGAUAGUUUUUUGAAUUUUUUUGUAAAAAGCUUUUAUAAGGAGAUGAUUUCAGAACAAUUAAAAUUUUCUACUCCUGAUUCCUGAAAUGGAAACAGGGAAAACGGAAGUAACCAUAAGAGCUACAUAUGCGCAUGCGUUACUUCUGUUUUGGAAUAGCUGCUAUAAUGGAUGUGCUGGGUGGAUGACAAAUAUAACAACAUAAACAAAGUAGUAUUUGGCAUUGUGAUAUGGGCCUUACUAGUUUGCGAUUUUGCUAUGGGUUACUGAAGUAUACAUGAUCUAUAAAAAUACUUAAAAUUUUUUUGAUUAUGGCUUUAGUAACUGUUCAAAGGUCACCGUGUGGAAGCAACUCAAACUCUAAACAUGAAAGUCUAUCAGCUGAUUGCAUUGAUGGAUGUAAUAUUAGUGAAGAAGAAAA